UGCGGGGUCGUCUAAUGGUAGGACAGGGGCCUUUGGAGCCUCUAAUGUAGGUUCGAAUCCUACCCCCGCAG
rnacentral:tRNA from 1 species